UACGGGGGGGGCAAGCGUUGUUCGGAAUUACUGGGCGUAAAGGGCGCGUAGGCGGCGUGACAAGUCACUUGUGAAAUCUCCGGGCUUAACUCGGAACGGUCAAGUGAUACUGUCGUGCUAGAGUACAGAAGGGGCAACUGGAAUUCUCGGUGUAGCGGUGAAAUGCGUAGAUAUCGAGAGGAACACCUGCGGCGAAGGCGGCUUGCUGGGCAUGAUCUGACGCUGAGGCGCGAAAGCGUGGGGAGCGAACAGG
rnacentral:rRNA from 1 species